AUCGGUUCCCAUAUGAUCACCAAAGUUAAGCAUUGUUGAGUCUGGUUAGUACUUGGAUGGAUGACUGCUUGAGAAUACUAGGUGCU